AGCCAAAAGACAUUUCACAUCUUUAUACGCUUAUUUAAUAAAUAUAUAAAUAUAUAUAAUUAUUUUAAUAAAUAAACAAUAUAAAAAACAAUUUUUUUUGUCGUUUUCGAAUUAUACAUUUUUGAAUUCAAACUUCUUUAUAAAUUUUUUUCGAAGAUUUUUUAGAAAUUUUAUUUUGAAAUCCAAAAAUUAGAACUUAAAACUAUUUAAUAAAUAUAUUUUAAAUUUAAGUAUUUAUUUGUUUAUUUUUAAAAAUCCUAAACUCACCCCCAAACUCCCCUCCU
rnacentral:lncRNA from 1 species